AUACUUAAGUAGCAGGGGAGAGACCAUGAUCAUGAAGGUGGUUUUCCCAGGGCGAGGCUUAUCCAUUAUACUUUGGAUGUGCUGACCCUUGUGAUUUCCCCAAAUGUUGGAAACUCAGCUGCAUAAUUUGUGGUAGUGGGGGACUAUGUUCAUGCUCUCCCC
ensembl:snRNA U1 U1 spliceosomal RNA